GAUGAACGCUGGCGGCGUGCCUAAUACAUGCAAGUCGAGCGAACAGACGAGGAGCUUGCUCCUCUGACGUUAGCGGCGGACGGGUGAGUAACACGUGGAUAACCUACCUAUAAGACUGGGAUAACUUCGGGAAACCGGAGCUAAUACCGGAUAAUAUAUUGAACCGCAUGGUUCAAUAGUGAAAGACGGUUUUGCUGUCACUUAUAGAUGGAUCCGCGCCGCAUUAGCUAGUUGGUAAGGUAACGGCUUACCAAGGCAACGAUGCGUAGCCGGCCUGUGAGGGUGAUCAGCCACACGGGAACUGAGAAACGGUCCAGACACCGACGGGAGGCAGCAGUGGGGAAUCUUCCGCAAUGGGCGAAAGCCUGACGGAGCAACGCCGCGUGAGUGAUGAAGGUCUUCGGAUCGUAAAACUCUGUUAUUAGGGAAGAACAAAUGUGUAAGUAACUAUGCACGUCUUGACGGUACCUAAUCAGAAAGCCACGGCUAACUACGUGCCAGCAGCCGCGGUAA
rnacentral:rRNA from 1 species